UACGAAGGGGGCUAGCGUUGCUCGGAAUCACUGGGCGUAAAGGGUGCGUAGGCGGGUCUUUAAGUCAGGGGUGAAAUCCUGGAGCUCAACUCCAGAACUGCCUUUGAUACUGAAGAUCUUGAGUUCGGGAGAGGUGAGUGGAACUGCGAGUGUAGAGGUGAAAUUCGUAGAUAUUCGCAAGAACACCGGUGGCGAAGGCGGCGCUCUGGACCGAGACUGACGCUGAGGCGCGAAAGCGUGGGGAGCAAACAGG
rnacentral:rRNA from 1 species